rnacentral:rRNA from 1 species
AAUAGAUACCCCGGUAGUCCACGCCGUAAACGAUGAGUGCUAAGUGUUAGAGGGUUUCCGCCCUUUAGUGCUGAAGUUAACGCAUUAAGCACUCCGCCUGGGGAGUACGGCCGCAAGGCUGAAACUCAAAGGAAUUGACGGGGGCCCGCACAAGCGGUGGAGCAUGUGGUUUAAUUCGAAGCAACGCGAAGAACCUUACCAGGUCUUGACAUCCUCUGACAACCCUAGAGAUAGGGCUUCUCCUUCGGGAGCAGAGUGACAGGUGGUGCAUGGUUGUCGUCAGCUCGUGUCGUGAGAUGUUGGGUUAAGUCCCGCAACGAGCGCAACCCUUGAUCUUAGUUGCCAUCAUUCAGUUGGGCACUCUAAGGUGACUGCCGGUGACAAACCGGAGGAAGGUGGGGAUGACGUCAAAUCAUCAUGCCCCUUAUGACCUGGGCUACACACGUGCUACAAUGGAUGGUACAAAGAGCUGCGAGCCCGCGAGGGUAAGCUAAUCUCAUAAAGCCAUUCUCAGUUCGGAUUGU